UUUAAAAAAAUAAAAAUAAAAAAAUAUUAAAUCUGUAUGUUCUAAAGGUGGGCUUUCCUCGAAGGAGGAAGCCAGCUCCCGCCCCUUUGCUUUUGCCUCACCUUUCUUCUCUGCCUCUGGUCUUCAUUGCAGCCCGGAGCCGUCGCCACCCUUCUCACCGGCGUCACCUUGCACGGUGCUCCCUCUUUUCGACAAGAUGUAGUCGAAACGUUUCCAGAAUCGCCGGCGUUCCGUUAGAGCACCUACUUCCUGCACGGUCCACGACGGUGCACGACCCAGACAAGUCCCUGCAUUGACUGAUCUUAGACCUUGGAAAUUGUUCUUAAAUGACUUGUGUGGCGUGCCGGAGAAGCAAAAGAGAGCAUUCCACUUCCAUUCUUGUACGAAGCGCUGCCAUCGAGUCGGUUCCAACUUGGAUCGGAGACGGAAUCCAGCAAUUCACAAUCUCUCCUACCUUCUGCCUCGUCUUCUUCACAAUUUCUUCCUCUUCCUCUUAUUGCAUCUGACUGAAGCUAUCAAUGGCAAAAAUUGAAGCUCGUGCCAUAAUAUUUUGCUGGGUUCAGGUUGGGUUACUCCACAAGGCAGAAAGGAUUUCUCUCACAGAUCUUUUUUUAUUUUGGGCCAAAUUUCUUUCAUAGACUGAAGACGGAGAAAUCACAACCCAAACACUAAUGGUUCAUAGGAGUUAUUGAUUUUCCCCUUCUUCCACAAAUAUUUUAUUCCUUGGAGAUACUGUUUUAUAUCUUUUUAUUUGAUUUUGUUGUGCUUGACUUGGAUCUA